AUUGAACGCUGGCGGCAUGCUUUACACAUGCAAGUCGAACGGUAACAGGUUAAGCUGACGAGUGGCGAACGGGUGUGUAAUGCAUCGGAACGUGCCCGAUCGUGGGGGAUAACGCAGCGAAAGCUGCGCUAAUACCGCAUACGAACUGAGGAUGAAAGCGGGGGACCGUAAGGCCUCGCGCGCUCGGAGCGGCCGAUGGCAGGAUCGGUAGUUGGUGGGGGAAAGGCGCACCAAGCCGACGAUCUGUAGCUGGUCGGAGAGGACGACCAGCCACACUGGGACUGAGACACGGCCCAGACUCCUACGGGAGGCAGCAGUGGGGAAUGUUGGACAAUGGGCGAAAGCCUGAUCCAGCAAUGCCGCGUGCAGGAAGAAGGCCUUCGGGUUGUAAACUGCUUUUGUACGGAGCGAAAAGGCUCUCUCUAAUACAAGGGGCGCAUGACGGUACCGUAAGAAUAAGCACCGGCUAACUACGUGCCAGCCGCCGCAGUAAGAC
rnacentral:rRNA from 1 species